GGACGAACGCUGGCGGCGUGCUUAACACAUGCAAGUCGAACGCUGAAGACCUGGCUUUUGUUGGGUUGGAUGAGUGGCGAACGGGUGAGUAACACGUGAGUAACCUGCCCUCUUCUUUGGGAUAACGCCCGGAAACGGGUGCUAAUACUGGAUAUUCACUGGCCUUCGCAUGGGGGUUGGUGGAAAGGUUUUUUCUGGUGGGGGAUGGGCUCGCGGCCUAUCAGCUUGUUGGUGGGGUGAUGGCCUACCAAGGCUUUGACGGGUAGCCGGCCUGAGAGGGUGACCGGUCACAUUGGGACUGAGAUACGGCCCAGACUCCUACGGGAGGCAGCAGUGGGGAAUAUUGCACAAUGGGCGAAAGCCUGAUGCAGCGACGCCGCGUGAGGGAUGGAGGCCUUCGGGUUGUAAACCUCUUUCGCUCAUGGUCAAGCCGCAACAUUGGUUGUGGUGAGGGUAGUGGGUAAAGAAGCGCCGGCUA
rnacentral:rRNA from 1 species